rnacentral:rRNA from 1 species
UAAAAACCCCGACUUCGGAAGGGGUGUAUUUAUUAGAUACAAAACCAAUGCCCCUCGGGGCUCUUUGGUGAUUCAUGAUAACUAUACGAAUCGCACGGCCUUGCGCCGGCGAUGGUUCAUUCAAAUUUCUUCCCUAUCAACUUUCGAUGUUUGGGUAUUGGCCAAACAUGGUUGCAACGGGUAACGGAGGGUUAGGGCUCGACCCCGGAGAAGGAGCCUGAGAAACGGCUACUACAUCCAAGGAAGGCAGCAGGCGCGCAAAUUACCCAAUCCCGACUCGGGGAGGUAGUGACAAUAAAUACUGAUACAGGGCCCUUUCGGGCCUUGUAAUUGGAAUGAGUACAAUUUAAAUCCCUUAACGAGGAACAAUUGGAGGGCAAGUCUGGUGCCAGCAGCCGCGGUAAUUCCAGCUCCAAUAGCGUAUAUUAAAGUUGUUGUGGUUAAAAAGCUCGUAGUUGAACCUUGGGCCUGGCUGGCCGGUCCGCCUCACCGCGUGCACUGGUCCGGCCGGGCCUUUCCCUCUGUGGAACCCCAUACCCUUCACUGGGCGUGGCGGGGAAACAGGACAUCUACUUU